rnacentral:rRNA from 1 species
UACGAAGGGGGCUAGCGUUGCUCGGAAUCACUGGGCUUAAAGGGCGCGUAGGCGGGCCGCCAGGUCCGGGGUGAAAGCCUCCAGCUCAACUGGAGAAGUGCCUUGGAUACCGGCGGCCUCGAGGGAGGUAGGGGCGUGCGGAACUUCGGGUGGAGCGGUGAAAUGCGUAGAUAUCCGAAGGAACACCGGUGGCGAAAGCGGCGCGCUGGAUCUCUUCUGACGCUGAGGCGCGAAAGCCAGGGGAGCAAAGCGGG